rnacentral:rRNA from 1 species
UAGGGAAUCUUCGGCAAUGGACGAAAGUCUGACCGAGCAACGCCGCGUGAGUGAAGAAGGUUUUCGGAUCGUAAAACUCUGUUGUUAGAGAAGAACAAGGACGUUAGUAACUGAACGUCCCCUGACGGUAUCUAACCAGAAAGCCACGGCUAACUACGUGCCAGCAGCCGCGGUAAUACGUAGGUGGCAAGCGUUGUCCGGGUUUAUUGGGCGUAAAGCGAGCGCAGGCGGUUUCUUAAGUCUGAUGUGAAAGCCCCCGGCUCAACCGGGGAGGGUCAUUGGAAACUGGGAGACUUGAGUGCAGAAGAGGAGAGUGGAAUUCCAUGUGUAGCGGUGAAAUGCGUAGAUAUAUGGAGGAACACCAGUGGCGAGGGCGGCUCUCUGGUCUGUAACUGACGCUGAGGCUCGAAAGCGUGGGGAGCAAACAGG